UUACCCAUAUAACAAACCCUCACAUGUACCCCUGAAACUAAAAUAAAAGUUUUAAAAAAUGCAGGUUAUCAAUAUCACCUCUCCUCCACCUCACCCCAAUUCUCACUUCUAACAUGGUAGUUUGCACUGAGGUCCAGGAAUCUGCAUUUGAAGAAGUAACUUGGCAACAUUUUCUGAAACACUGACCCAGAUGAGCUCUGUCUUCAGUCAUGUAGUUGUGCUGUAAGAAAAAUAGUAUCCAGAGAAAUAGUUUCUAUGAAUUCCCAAUCCUCAGCUUUCAGUAUUUCAUAGUCCAUAUAUUUUGGGAUCCCUUUUAUUCUUCUGUCUUCUCACUCAUGGUAAAAGGAGAAUAGAAAAGUAAUACAUGUCCAGAUAUGUUAUAAAAGAGGAUUAAUAUUAUCAAGAGGGGAGUUUAUUUGUCCUCCUCUAAACAUUCUACCCUAGAGAGUUAGAAACACACUGGGGAGUAGAUUCCUUCAAAAGACCAAAAGAUCAGUUAUUUAUGCAUUCGUUUGCACCAUUUCAGGAUACAAAGUUAUCAGAAGAGACAACUUCUCUGGUCUCAAGCCAGCUGGGACACCACCAGGAUGCGACUGGAAUUCUUUAAGGAGUCUUUGAGGACACUCCAUCUAUCCUGGGCAAAUUUCUUGAGCCUUGCAGACUGGCUUACAAGGUGUCACAGGGUUCUGUUGUCCCUUGCUGUCUAUCUGUCAUAGUGGAUGAGGCUACCUGCCUGUCUGACCUUUGAGGAAGGGGAAUUUCUGAAACCUUAAGGCUUCCUUGUAUUGUUCAAUUCAGUGAGAAAGAAAUCACUAAUGAUAGCAGGAUUUGCUCUGUUGCCCAGGCUGGAGUGCAGUAGCACAGAGUACAUUGCUGUCUAUC